GACGAACGCUGGCGGCGUGCCUAAUACAUGCAAGUUGAGCGCUGAAGGUUGGUACUUGUACCAACUGGAUGAGCAGCGAACGGGUGAGUAACGCAUGGGGAAUCUGCCUUUGAGCGGGGGACAACAUUUGGAAACGAAUGCUAAUACCGCAUAAAAACUUUAAACACAAGUUUUAAGUUUGAAAGAUGCAAUUGCAUCACUCAAAGAUGAUCCCGCGUUGUAUUAGCUAGUUGGUGAGGUAAAGGCUCACCAAGGCGAUGAUACAUAGCCGACCUGGGAGGGUGAUCGGCCACAUUGGGACUGAGACACGGCCCAAACUCCUACGGGAGGCAGCAGUAGGGAAUCUUCGGCAAUGGACGAAAGUCUGACCGAGCAACGCCGCGUGAGUGAAGAAGGUUUUCGGAUCGUAAAACUCUGUUGGUAGAGAAGAACGUUGGUGAGAGUGGAAAGCUCAUCAAGUGACGGUAACUACCCAGAAAGGGACGGCUAACUACGUG
rnacentral:rRNA from 1 species